GAUGAACGCUGGCGGCGUGCCUAAUACAUGCAAGUCGAGCGAACAGACGAGGAGCUUGCUCCUCUGACGUUAGCGGCGGACGGGUGAGUAACACGUGGAUAACCUACCUAUAAGACUGGGAUAACUUCGGGAAACCGGAGCUAAUACCGGAUAAUAUAUUGAACCGCAUGGUUCAAUAGUGAAAGACGGUUUUGCUGUCACUUAUAGAUGGAUCCGCGCCGCAUUAGCUAGUUGGUAAGGUAACGGCUUACCAAGGCAACGAUGCGUAGCCGACCUGAUAGGGUGAUCGGCCACACUGGAACUGAGACACGGUCCAGACUCCUACGGGAGGCAGCAGUAGGGAAUCUUCCGCAAAGGGCGAAAGCUUGACGGAGCAACGCCGCGUGAGUGAUGAAGGUCUUCGGAUCGUAAAACUCUGUUAUUAGGGAAGAACAAAUGUGUAAGUAACUAUGCACGUCUUGACGGUACCUAAUCAGAAAGCCACGGCUAACUACGUG
rnacentral:rRNA from 1 species